rnacentral:lncRNA from 1 species
AUGGUUGGUUUGGUACAUCUUAGCAUCUGCAUCAUACAAAGGGGGAACAACAGCCAUGGCUUUUGGUCAGGUUCAGGGGGGUCGGGGGGCACCCCUCCCCUCCCCCCAGGCACUGACACAUUUAAAGGAAGCAGAGCAACAAGGACACAGCACAGAUGUGGGAAAAGGGGGCAAGAGGGACAUGGAGGGGGGGAGACAUGUCCUCAGGCUCAAGAGACAUCCUGUCAUCUGAGCCAGUCUGCGUCCCCCUCAGUCCCCUGUGCAGUUGAGGGAUUGCGGGACCCCAGGAGGAUGGAGCAGUUGGGUGGGGUGGGGGGGGUGGGCAAUCCUGUCAGCUGAGUGUUGGGGGCUCUUGGGGCUGGUGGUCUGCCCCAUCUUACUCUAGCCAAGGGGUGGCUUCUUGGCCCACCAGCUCUUCCACCUGAGAAGAGCCUGAACUGACGUACUUCUGUUCUGUCUCUCGUUCCCCUUCCUUCUCUCUGGAGCCCUCCCCACUCACUGUCUCGCUGGGAUAGUCUUUUGAUCUCCUGCUUGCCUUGGAGGAGACCCCUCUGUAGUUAAGGACACCUUUCAGGAACUUCUGGAGCUAGAGCAGAGGAUGUACCUGCGUGGAAAUUCUGGCCAUCGCCAGUGUCCAGCACAGGAGAUCCCACAUCCUUCCCUACUCUCUGGCAGUCAGCCCCCAGGCACAGAGCAUGACAGUGGCCUUCCGUGGCAAGCAACUUCCCUGAAGUUCUCUCUUCACCCACAUGCAAUGACUGCUCUUUGCUGUUUCUCUAGCUGGGGGCCAUCUCUCUUGUAUACUGUUUCUGUGUGUGUACUCGCUGAAUUCUAGGGUGGCUCCCUCCCUGCCCCCAACUCCUAAGCGUGUCACAUGCACACUGCCCCGUUUGUGUGUGACUCACUCUUCCCCCUCCCAUCGGUGGGCCUGAUAUACCUCCUGCCCCCAGUACUUCAUGUGGACCCCCUUCCCUGCCAGAGCACCUCACACAUAUUUUGUGCCCUCUAAGUGUGUGACAUGUGACAUCCUCUCUAGGUCACAUAUUAGUCUCUCUCCUCAGUGAGGUCUGUGCCAGGAAUGAUGAUCCUCAUGUUCCCGUGGACCCCAAAGCAAUCACCUGGCAGUGGUUGGAGCCAGGUAUGCCCCAGGCAGAAAUUCUCCUCCUGUCCCCACCUCCAGGAAGACCUCCAGUCCUGCUGCACAGAAGCA